UUCCUCGGCGCCAUCUUGGAGUGGUGUCGACUCGGGGCUUCUCUCCUCUGCCGCUUCUUGUGCCGCCGGAACGGCCGCGAGCAGUCGGGCUUCCAGUUGAGACUUCAAGCUUCAGCACUGAAGUAGUAUCUUAUGAAGUUGCCUGAAGCACAGCCUCAAACAAGAGCAAAGCAGCCACAACUGCUUGAAUGAAACCAGGCAGAAACAUUGAGAAUGAAUUAGUACACUGAGUGCAGGAACACAGAACUUCAUCUGCAAAUAACCUUUUCAUAAGAGAUUUGUAUAUUCCACAAGUAAAGUCAUAUUUUGCACAGGAUGUUAUUAUUGUAGUUGCUCACUUUACUGUU